rnacentral:tRNA from 1 species
UCCGAGAUAGCUCAGCUGGCAGAGCGGCUGACUGUUAAUCAGCAUGUCGCAGGUUCGAGCCCUGCUCUCGGAGCCA